rnacentral:tRNA from 1 species
AUUUUGGCUUUUGUGGCUGAAAAUUCAUUUUUCAUUUCAAUAGACAAUAGAAAGGGGAAAGAAUUUAGAAUUUAGAUAGUGUAUGUUUUGAGAUACUAUAAAAAAAAUUAAUCGAAAAAAUAGAUCCAAUCGGAAGGAUUUCUUUUUAGGAAAGGGAUUAAUAAAAAUGGAAUUCAAGAUGCAAGUACAAAAAAAAAGAGGGGGGAUAUUUUCGUCUAUUUUGUGUUGCCUUGGCGGCAUGGCCGAGUGGUAAGGCGGGGGACUGCAAAUCCUUUUUCCCCAGUUCAAAUCCGGGUGUCGCCUGAUCAACAAAAGGUGCAAAAUGCUUUAUUCCCUUUUGCUGAUAUAACUUGUCGAACUUUCCCCCAACAGAAGCACGCGAAGGAAAGGACAUCUUGAUACUUCCUUGAUUCUAAACAUCGGAAAAUUCUGUUCUCUAAAGUGCUGUAAAUUCUUGCAUCUAGGAUUCGGGGAAAGUUUAUAGUGGUGAAAGGGAAUCGGUAAAUCUUGAUAUAAUAGUCCUUCCACUACUAAGGUCUUUUGUAUACAAACUCAUNNNNNNNNNNNUGAGUACUCAGGAAUUCAAUCAAUCAAAUAGUGAUUGAAUAGAUAAUUGGCCUUUACUUAUACAUAUC